rnacentral:rRNA from 1 species
UACAGAGGUCUCAAGCGUUGUCCGGAUUUAUUGGGCGUAAAGAGCGUGUAGGCGGCCAGACAAGUCUGCUGUGAAAACUCGAGGCUCAACCUCGAGCUGUCGGUGGAAACUGUCUGGCUAGAGUCCGGAAGAGGAGAGUGGAAUUCCUGGUGUAGCGGUGAAAUGCGCAGAUAUCAGGAGGAACACCGAUGGCGAAGGCGGCAUUCUGGACUGUAACUGACACUGAUGAACGAAAGCCAGGGGAGCAAACGGG